UGCCAGCCGCCGCGGUAAUACGAAUGGUGCGAGCGUUGUUCGGAAUCACUGGGCAUAAAGCGCGCGUAGGCGGCGGCGUAAGUCAGCUGUGAAAUCCCUCGGCUCAACCGAGGAACUGCAGCUGAAACUGCGUUGCUAGAGUGCGGGAGGGGAGAACGGAAUUCCUGGUGGAGCGGUGAAAUGCGUAGAUAUCAGGAGGAACGCCGGAGGCGAAAGCGGUUCUCUGGCCCGCAACUGACGCUGAGGUGCGAAAGCUAGGGGAGCAAACAGGAUUAGAUA
rnacentral:rRNA from 1 species